AAAAAGGUUGGACUAAGAACGUCCCUGCGUGCGGACGCAUUGCGGUAUCCACGUUCAACUUUAAAUAAAUGACGAGGCGAAUCGCUCCUAUUCUAUUCGAACGUUAUGGAUACUCCAGUGGGGUAUGGCUUCGCAUAUCCAGUGCAUAAUUUUUGUAAUAUGAUAUGCGAGCUGCCAAAGUGCAUUGAUUUUA